rnacentral:lncRNA from 1 species
GAUUUUGAUUUUGCAGCCAAGGUUCAGAACUCCUGGGAGGAGAAAUGUUUCUCUUUAGAAUGGGAAGAUCUCAGGUAGAAUGAAGCUUAAAGUGCAAAAGAUUGCCUGGAUAUGUUCAGCAAGUCUAUUCAUCAUGGCUUAAUUGUUCACGAUGCACCAGGCACUGUGUGUGGAACUGGGUAUAAAGAAGAAAGGGACAGGAUACCUGAUUACAGGUAUCAGGAAGCUGAAGGAAGAGACCUGUGAACAACCAACAGAUUGGCCCUGAGCUAACAUCUGCUGCCAAUCCUCCUUUUAUUUGCUGAGGAAGACUGGCCGUGAGCUAACGUCUGUGCCCAUCUUCCUCUACUUUCUACGUGGGACACCUACUACAGCAUGGCUUGCCAAGCAGUGCCAUGUCCGUACCUGGGAUCCAAACCUGCGAACCUGGGACCGCUGAAGUGGAACGUGUGCACUUAACCACUAUGCCACUGGGCUGGCCCCCUUAUUUAUUUAUUUAACUUAUUUUUAAAAUUUUUUUAAGGAAGAUUAGCUCUGAGCUAACUACUGCCAAUCCUCCUCCUUUUUGCUGAGGAAGACUGGCCCUGAGCUAACAUCCGUGCCCAUCUUUCUCUCCUUUACACAUGGGACGCCUAACACAGCAUGGCUUUUGCCAAGUGGUGCCAUGCCCUCACCCGGUAUCUGAACCAGCGAAUCCCGGGCCACUGAAGCAGAAUGUGUCCACUUAACCGCUGCACCACCGGGCCGGCCCCAGCAAUAAAUCUUUUAUACAUAUAGUAUUUUUUAAAAUAUAUAGAACAUUUAAAAUAGACCUAAAGGAAGUAGCCCACUUAGAAACUUUUUUUUCUUUUUUCAAUUUUUCCUUUCACUCACACAAAUUGUGAAAUUUUAAGAAACUUAAUUUUUUGUUUACUGCUCACCAGGAAUCUUUUAGGUCAGUGUGGAUUUCUUUCUAAGAUCCAGGCUGAACAUGAAGAAAUGAGGAUGAAAAUGAAAAUUCGGUGUGAGUUGGAAAUGUGGAGGGAACCAGAGAUCUUUCUGAACUCAGCUCAGGAAAAUCACAGAGAGUUUGUGUGUUGGCUGUGCCACAGCAAGUCUGUUUAGAGUAUUCUUAUCAUUUCUAUUUUAAAGAAAAAGUCAAAUUCUAAAGAGGCAUUUAGAAGAAACAGAAUGAGAGAGCAUUUAAGGCUAAUUUGAGACUUGAUGGGUUGAGUAAAAGAAGAGCAGCGUUUUGUUCUGAAGAUUGCAGAACCAAAGAAUGUAUAUCCCAAGUGGAAAACAUCUUUUUAAAAAAUUGUCAUCAAUUUCAAAAUAUAUUUUCAUAAAAACCCUAUCUUCAUGAGUCAACAAGUGGAAACUGUAAUUAUUCUAAAUAGUGCAUGAUGAAUCACUGUGGUAUUAGAUAUUAAACACACUCAAGACUAACCACAGCCCAACCAAGAUACCUUCAGGACAUCUUCACUCUAGAACUAUAUUAGUCAGAGGUCUCCAGAGCAAGAUAACAAAUAGGAUGUAUAGAGAUAUAAAAGAGGAGAUUCAUUAUGAGAAUUGGCUCAUGUAAUUAUGGAGCCUGAGAUAUGCCAUAAUAUGCCACCUGCAAGCUGGAGAAUUAGGAAAGCUAAUGGUAUAAUUCGCUCUGAAGCCAAAGGCCUGAGAACCACUGGGCCAUUAGUAUAAAGCAUGGAGUCUGAAAGCUUGAGAACCAGGAGCUAUGGUGUCUGAGGGCAGGAUAACAUUGGAUGUGCCAGCUCAAGAAGAGAGAGAGAAUUCUUCUACCUUUUUGUUCUACUGGAGCCCUCAACAGAUUGGAUGAUGCACACCUACAUUGGUGAGGGUGGGUCUUCUUUACUCAGUCUACUGAUUCAAAUGCUAAUCUCUUCUAAAAGCACCCUCACUGGCACACCCAGAAAUAAAAUUUACUAGCUCUCUGGGCAUCCCUUAGCUUAGUCAAUUUGACAUAUAAAAUUAAUUAUUGCAAAGACAAAAUUACCCAAGUUUGGUUGGCCUUGGCCACCUAAUCUAUGAAUACUUCUGACUUGCCUCUGGGUUUCUCCUUCUUCAGCCACUAACCUGGACCCCCAUCCCAUCCACUCCCAUGUUCUAAUGUGCUCUUAACUGUGUGAAUUGACCUUUACAGCAGACUUACUGGAUUUGCGUCUCUCAGUCAUACAACUCUCUUGUUGCUGCCCUUUAAGAAGUCAGGUCUCUAAACAGCUUGAUCACCAAGAAAACUUACACAUUUCUUGCUUCUUCUCCACGGUUUUGUUGGUCUCUGUAGUCAGUGUAGUUAACUCUUUAAGUCCUAUCUUUGCUCACUUUCCUUCUCAACCUCAUCUUGAUCAAAGUAGGUAGCAUGAUCUUUUCUUCUCCUUCUUUUCUCCCUUCUAUAUUGAUGCAAAAAGGUUUUACUGCAAAAUCUAGGUGAAUAUGUUUGACUAAAGGAAAGUUCAAAUCCAAUUUUACACUCUAAAUGAAUUCUUCCUGAACAC